AUAGCGUAUAUUAAAGUUGUUGCGGUUAAAAAGCUCGUAGUUGGAUUUUGGUGGCUUUGAUAGGGGUCUCCCGGAUAGGUAUGUGCAUUUAUCGAGUCGCUAUCUCUUACGGGUAAUCCAUGCCUGCUCUUAAUUGAGUGGGUGGUCAUACUCUCGGGGUAUGGUGCUAGGUUUGAGUUUUACUUGGACUUAGUAGGGUUCCCGUUCAUUUACUUUGAGUAAAUUAGAGUGUUUAAAGCAGCCUCUUUGGGCUUUGAAUAGCAUUAGCAUGGGAUAAUAGAAUAGGACUUUGGUUCUAUUUUGUUGGUUUUCAGAACCUGAGUAAUGAUUAAUAGGGACAGUUGGGGGCAUUUGUAUUUUGUUGUCAGAGGUGAAAUUCUUAGAUUUA
rnacentral:rRNA from 1 species